AUUGAACGCUGGCGGCAGGCCUAACACAUGCAAGUCGAGCGAGCGGCGGACGGGAGAGUAAUGUCUGGGAAUCUGCCUGAUGGAGGGGGACAACUACUGGAAACUGUAGCUAAUACCGCCUACCAUCACAUGUGCCCAGAUGGGAUUAGCUAGGAGGUGGGGUAAUGGCUCACCUAGGCGCCGAUCCCUAGCUGGUCUGAGAGGAUGACCAGUCACACUGGAACUGAGACACGGUCCAGACUCCUACGGGAGGCAGCAGUGGGGAAUAUUGCACAAUGGGCGCAAGCCUGAUGCAGCCAUGCCGCGUGUGUGAAGAAGGCCUUCGGGUUGUAAAGCACUUUCAGCGAGGAGGCGUUACUCGCAGAAGAAGCACCGGCUAACUCCGUGCCAGCAGCCGCGGUAAUUC
rnacentral:rRNA from 1 species